rnacentral:rRNA from 1 species
GACGAACGCUGGCGGCGUGCUUAACACAUGCAAGUCGAACGGAAAGGCUCCAGCUUGCUGGAGUACUCGAGUGGCGAACGGGUGAGUAACACGUGGGAAAUCUGCCCUGCACUCUGGGAUAAGCCUGGGAAACUGGGUCUAAUACUGGAUAUGACCUUUCUCCUUAUGGGGUUUGGUGGAAAGUUUUUCGGUGUAGGAUGAGCCCGCGGCCUAUCAGCUUGUUGGUGGGGUGAUGGCCUACCAAGGCGACGACGGGUAGCCGGCCUGAGAGGGUGAUCGGCCACAUUGGGACUGAGAUACGGCCCAGACUCCUACGGGAGGCAGCAGUGGGGAAUAUUGCACAAUGGGCGGAAGCCUGAUGCAGCGACGCCGCGUGAGGGAUGACGGCCUUCGGGUUGUAAACCUCUUUCAGCAGGGACGAAGCGUAAGUGACGGUACCUGCAGAAGAAGCACCGGCUAACUAGGUG